AAAAAGAAAAAAAAGGUUGAGUCGUCAUCUUCUCAAUGGCGACGGCUGAGACACAAACGAUGGUGGUAGGGAUCGACGAUAGCGAGCACAGCACGUACGCGCUUCAAUGGACGCUCGAUCAUUUCUUUGCAAAUUCGACUGUAAAUCCUCCUUUCAAACUCGUCAUCGUUCACGCCAGACCUUCCCCUUCUGCUGUUAUUGGCCUCGCUGGACCUGGUAAAGUAAUUAUAAAUCUAACUAAUUAAUCCUUUGGUAUUUGUCCUUGCUUUGCAAGUUUUAAAAAUUAAGUAAUGGAUUUUGUUGUCCUUUGUUCGAUUUUAGUUUUCGAUUUUUGUUUGUUUGUUUUUUCUUUCUUUCUUGAUGACCAAGUAACUGGUUUUUAAUUUUAAUUUAUCGCAGGAGCUGUCGAGGUUUUGCCUCAUGUGGACUCAGAUUUGAAGAAGAUUGCUGCUAGGCUUGUGGAGGAGGCUAAAGAAUCUGUAGCAGUAAAUCGGUAAUGAUUAGUUUUUUAUUUCUUUUUAAUGAUAUUACUAUCUAUCUAUAUAUCUAUAUAUAUAUAUAAAGUUGGGACUAUAAGAGGUGAUGUGGCAUCACCAUUUCUCAUCAUUUCAUAUUUUCUAUUAUCUAAUAAAUUGGUUGAAAUUAAAAAAUAAUUACAUUAUAAAAUAUUAAAAUAGAAAAUAAUUAUUAGAUUAUAAAUGAUUACAUGUCUUUUUCUCUUUCUAUUUAAAUUCAACAAUAUGUAACCAUUAAUAAUAAUUAAUUAUAAGUCUUGAAACAUUCAUUUAUUUUAUUAUGCCAACAAUUAAAUUUUAGUGGCUUAAAAUACAUCAAUUAAUUAAUAUAGGAAGGAAGGUUCCUUCAUCUUCUCUCAACAAUACCAUUAGAGCCUAAUUUUAAUGUCAUAAUCUCAUAUUUAAUUAUUCAAUCUUUUGUUUAGUGGCUUUUGGCUUCUUCAAACUCCAUAAACAUUAAAUAUUUAAGAUUUGUGUCAUCAUUAUUUCUCAUCAUUUUUUAUUCUCUAUUAUCUAAUAUAUUGGUUGAGAUUAAAAAAUAAUUACAUUACAAAAUAUUAAAAAUAUAUAUCUAUCUAUCUAUAUCUAUAUAUAUAUAUAAAGUUGGGACUAGAGAAGGUGAUGUGGCAUCACUAUUUCUCAUCUUCUUGUAUUCUCUAUUAUCUAAUAAUUAAAUUAGUUGAUAUUAAAAAAAUAAUUACAUUACAAAAUAUUAAAAAUAAAAAAUUAUUAUUAGAUUACAAAAAAUUACAUGUCUCUUCCUCUUUCUAUUUAAAUUCAACAAUAUGUAACCAUUAAUAAUAAAUUAAUUAUAAGUUUUGAAACAUUCAUUUAUUUUAUUAAGCCAACAACUAAACUUUAGUGGUUUAAAAUACAUCAACUAAUUAAUAUAGGAAGGAAGGUUCAUUCAUCUUUCCUCACCAAUGCCACUAGGACCUAAUUUUAAUGUCAUAAUCUCAUAUUUAAUUAUGCAACCUUUUAUUUGGUGUCUUUUGGCUUCUUUAAACUCUAUAAAUAUUAAGCAUUUAAGAUUUGUUAUGUUUGAGUUUUUUUUAUUAUUUAACUAACAUCCUCCUUAGAAAUGUUUUUGUGUUUUUUAUUUUUUGACUUAUUUAAAUUUUUAGUAUUGUGUGCUUCAUGGAGUAUUCUUUUCUUCAUGAGUUAAACAGUGAUAAAGAUAGUUGGAUGAUAAGGGUUAGACUUUGUAAGAUGUGGGAGUCUGUUAAUACCAAGAAAAAUAGAGAGUUUUUAUUGAUGAAAAGGUUGUGUACACUUAACUAUACACAUUAAUAUAUAUUUUUAAUGUUAACAAAAAAAUAAUUAACUUUCAUAAAUAACAUUAGUUUUAUAAGGCUACGUCAUCUUUAAAAAAAAUCAUAUUUUUUAUCAGUUUCAUCAAGUGCAAAGUAAUAAAAAAGAUAAUACUAUUUUUUUUUUAAAGCCGCAUGAAGUGCGGUUCCAUUUCCUAGUCUAUAAAUAAAAUACAAUCUUGGGAUCGUCUAGGAUUCUAUAUACACAUACGCUUUUGUAGUACAGUUUAAAAAUCUUUAGAUUGCCCCACUCGUAAAAUGAUAAUUUUCAAAAUAUUCUUCUAAACAUCAACUUUCCCUCAUUUAUGUUAAGAAGACGAAAAAUUUUUCAUCAAUGCACCCCCAAUUUUUAUUUAUAUUUUGAACCCAAACAGAGGUAAGUUAAGGUUUAAAAUAGUUUAGAGGUACUUCGAGAACUGUCAUUUUGUGAUCGGUAAUCCAAAAUUAACCUUUCUAAAUUGGUGGAUCUAGGUUAUAAGAGCAUCUCCAAAAUGCUCUUUAGAUUUUACUCUUCAAAUUUCAAUUUGCUUACUGAUAUGGCAAAUAAGUGUAUAGAAAAAUACAAUCCCCUCCAAAAGACUCAUCAAAUAAGAAUAAGUUAAUAUUAUUUUAAUUAAAUCUUUCCCACUAUCAAAUUAAAUUGUUGUUAUGUUUUUGAAAGGAAACAUAAAUAAUAAUUAUUGCAGUCUUAUCUUUUCAAUAAAUAAUAAUAAAAUAUUAAUAGAAGAGGGAGAAACUCACUCGCCAAUAUUGAAGAGUGAGAAACAAAUCUUAUUUGAAGAAUCUAAAUUAACUUGUCUUUUGGAGUGUUUAAUAUUGAUAUGGCUCUUCUAGGGAUGGCAAUGGAUUGGAUCUGAUCCAAGAUCCACGUGAUCCAAAUCCAAUCGGAUCGAAUUUGGAUCGGUUUAAAAUGGAUUUGGAUCGGAUUUGGAUAUCGAUGUGCGGAUCUAAGAUGGAUCUGGAGCAGAUCUGGAUCUAUCUUAAUAUCUAAAUCCAUAUCCAUAUCCACUCAUCUUUUAAUUUUAUUUUAUUUUAAAAGUUUCUUAACAAUUGUGAAAUUAUAAUGAUAAUAAAUUUUAUUCAUAACAUAUUAGUAGUAUUUACCAUGCAUUUAAACUCUUAAAACUUAAAGGUUAGUUUUGUAAAUUUAAAGGUCAGCCAACCCCAAAGCAUGUACAUGCAAUAUUCAAAUUGCAAGCCAAAUAAUAUAACCUGGCAAUUUAUUUUAUUAUAUUGGCCAAAUAAUUUUUAAAGAAUAUAGUUAUUCAUAUAUUUAGUCAAAUAUGGUCAUAAUAAAAAUAAUAAAGGACUGAAUAUAAAUCAUAUUUAAUUUAUAUGUCAUUAUCUAAUGUUGUAGGAAUGAGGGUAGGUGUAUCGUAGAUAUUAGAAUGAUGAAGGAGACAAUAGAAUAUUAGAUUGAUCUUACUCCUGCAAUUACUUCGGAAUGAUAUUUUAUUAUCUUUCUUAUUUGUUGUUUUGGUGUAAAAGUAUAAGCUAUAAUAUUUAUUAUAAUUUUGAGAAAAAUUAUAUAAUUUAUUUGUUAUCAAUACAUUUUAGCCUUCAAUUUUCAAUCUAAAAAAUUAUUACUUUUUUAUUACUGAAUUUUAGAAUUCAUGACGGAUCUAGAGCAUAUUUGGAUUUUAAUUUUUUUUUUCGGAUUUGGAGCAGAUAUAGAUAUUUAUUUCUUUUUUGGAUCUGGAUAUGUAGCGAAAAAUAUGGAUUCAUGACGGAUCUGGAGCAGAUACAGAUCUUGAUUUUUAUUAUGGAUUUGGAUCUGGAGCAGAAUAGAUCCAACCCAUAUCUGCCCCAUUGCCAUCCCUAGGCUCUUCAAAUAAGAAGUAGAAUUUUAUUUGAAAAGUUUUUUUGGAGAUGCUUUAAGUAUUCACGCUUAUCCUUUUAUCUUUCCCCAGUUUGAAUAUACCAGAUUAUAAUAGGUAUACUUAACAAUUGUUUUCCUUCUGCUAUCAUUUCUGUAAAUUAGUAGUUCUGUUUUGUUUAGGUGCAUGAUGCUGUUGUUGAAGUGGUGGAAGGAGAUGCUCGAAAUAUCCUCUGUGAUGCUGUAGAGAAGCAUCAUGCCUCCAUAUUGGUUGUUGGUAGUCAUGGCUAUGGAGCGAUCAAAAGGUAUAAAUCCACUAUAAGUUGUUUCAUUUGGUAUCUCAUAUUUUCUCGAGUGGAACUUGGUAUGGUGAACUGUUUUGGUUAUUAUUCAUAUUUUUCAAUCAUAACGAGGACUCAAAUCUGUAUGUGUAAAUACACUAUAAAUAGAUUAAGUACUAUUGUAAAAGCUUAUAUGAAUCAAUUUUUUAUUCUUUAUUACGGAGUAGCUAUAACCAGUUGAAAAUUAAGUGGAAAAAAUGUCGUUGAGAUGUAGUAAAACGCUUUUCUCUGACUGGCCACCCAAAUGCAAAUUGAUGCUAAAAAUUUAAUUUGGGAUUUGCCUUCUCCUCUACCUUUGAAAAAAAAAAAAAAUUGAUCGGUUUCUAUUUCAGUAUUCUUUCGCUGGGAAUGUCAUACGUACUAUGGAUUUACAAAUUUUGUUGAAUAAGAGGGUUAGUAGGUUUCAUUUGUUUCCUGUUGGGGAUUCUGAUGACUUGUAACCGAGAUCGAUUCUUUUGCAGGGCGGUUUUGGGCAGUGUAAGUGAUUAUUGUGCUCAUCAUGCUCACUGCACGGUGAUGAUAGUGAAGAGGCCUAAAACCAAGCACUAAGCUGCAGUUCCUCUGCUUCAUGAUUAGUAAACACAUAAUAAGAUGGUAUGAAUCAGUUGGAUACUGUAUGAUAUCUAUUGUAUCUUGCAUUUUACAAUUGCGGUUGAAAAUGGGCUGUAAUCAAAUAUCAUAAUUUAACUUAUAUUUAUGUAAACAUCUAAACGUUUCAUCAAAGUUCAUAUGCUUCAAAUGUUUCAUAGUAAUGUUUUAUGUUCAUUAAUGUUCUCCUUGUUUCUUCGCUUGCUUGUUUCUUUACCCUCCCCUUUGUAGAAUUUCCUUGUUAAUCACAGUAUGAAUCAUAGCAUGAAAAUUAAAAGUUGAUUAGGACAAUAUUUUGAUUUUAAAUAUUUAAGGAUCCUUCUAAAUUACAUGUAAUGUAACUUACAACCACACACAUAAAUAAUAUGUGGUGUGGAGUUCACGCACUGGUUUAUAUGUGUGGUUGUAAGUUACAUUAUAUGAAACUUAGGGUUUGCCAAUAUUUGAAGUAACUUUUAAUUAAUCGAGACAGGUUCUGUAGGAAAGAUGUUAGCUUCAACCUUUUAUUCUUUAUCAUUUUUCAUGAUACUUUUAAAAUUUGAUAGACACAUAAAAUUCUGGUGUAAGAGGUGCUUAACACCCACUCUAUUAGGACAAUACAACUCAUUAAUUACUAUUUUCAGUUCACUGAAAAAAAAAAAAGAACUAUUAUGAACGCGAUCAUAUUUUUUAAAAUAAGAAACAUAUUCAUGAAUUAAUAAUUUAUUAAUUUAAUGAUAAAUAAUAAUUGUUAAAUUAAUAAACCUUUUAGGAUCCUUGCUAUUAAUUUAUCUGGUUGUAUUCUAAAUAGCUGCAUCACAAGUACGCAGAUCCACAAUUUCAACGCGUCUAGAAAUUUCAGAACAAUACAGCCAUCUUGUUUUAUUUAAUGUGUCUCGGGUAUUUUGACUACAUAGAAUCCAAGCCCUUAAAUCUAAUUAAACCUACUUACAAAAUACAUACAAGGAUUUAACCCCGAGCACAGCAUAGGAGCAAAUUAAUGUCAAAUAUGAGAUAACACAUAUAGAAUAAGAAACAAAUUAAUGUCUUUUAUUAUAUAAACUUUUUUUCUUGAUUUUGAUAAGAUAUUAUUUUUCUUUCAUUUUUUUAUUUUUUUAUCUUUUUUUCCCUUUCGAUUAAUAUUAUCUUUUCAAAAAAAUUUAGUUAGUAUAUUAUCCUAUUUCAAUUUUUAAAAUUUAAAUAAUUAGUUAAAUAUAGUAAUCAGUUAAAGAAAUUAGUUGUUCUAGGUCUUUGACUGUCAUUUGGCAUCCAAAGAAUGUUGGGCUCUCUCUCUCAGAACUCAGCAUCAUGUCUGGAGAUUGCCUCUUGGCUUUGUAGCCACACCCGAAAUGGAGCCUAAUUAAAUGAAGACACAUGUACUUAUAAAAGAAGUAAAUAUAUAAAAUACGAAAACAAAGUCGUUUUUAUUUCAAUUAUUUUGACACCUAAUUGGUGGCAGUAGAGGUGUUCAGAAUAUAAUUCGAUCCGCUUAAUCCAUCUAAUUCGUAAAAAUCCAAUUUGUGGAUUGGCGGAUUGGAUUGGAUUGAAAAUUUUGAAAAUCUACAGUCGGUUGAUUGAAUAUAGAUUUACUUUUAUAAAUCCGUAAAAAUCCGUGAUUCUGCAAAAAUAAAAAAUAUUUUACUUAAUUAAAAAAUAAAACUUGCAAAUGUAGCAUUGGUACUUACGAAUAAAUGAUAAGUUAAAAUAUAAUUAAAUUAACACCAUGUUAUAUAUAAAUUAAAAAAUAAUUAAAUAUUUGAAUAAUUAAAUAAGCAAAUAUAACUUCCUAAACAUUAAAAAUUCUUAACCAGAACAAAAAAAACCCUAAGCCAAACAAAACAUGUAAUUAGCACAUAAUACCAAACCUCUACCUCGUUGCACGCACAAGCCAUCGUUGUUUCACUUCAGCACUUGAGGUACUUAUAAUUUCUUACUUUCUUUUCAAGCUCUUCAAAUUUCUUAAUUUUUUUCUUGUUACAUCUAAGGUCUCAAGUUUCAACUUUUGUAUAUAUUUAAAUUCAUAAUUUUAGUUAAAUUUCACGUAUUGAUAUAAACAAAUGAGAUUUUAGCAUGUUAUUCUUUUCGACAUGUUAUUGAAACAUUGAAUGUAUUAUUCUAUCUUUAUUUAAACAAUUAAUUUCUUUAAAUUUUAUUCAAUUUUGAAUUUAAUUAGUAGUAAAUUUUUUUAUAUUAGAUUUUUUUAAUUUAAUUACUUCAUAGAUUGGACAAAAUUAAAAAUUAAAAAUUCAUAAAUCAAUUUGUAAAAUGAUGGUUUGGAUGUGAAUUAGGUUAAAUCCAUAUUCGAUCCGCAAAUAUAUGGAUUGAGUUUCACCAAUCCGUGGAUUUAAUUGGAUUGAAAAUUUAUAAUCUAUAAAAUUAUGGAUCGGAUAUGGAUUGAUAUAUAAUCCGUAAAAUUCGAUCCACGAACACCCCUAUUUGGCAAAUUAACACUCGGGAAAGCUGAUCCUUGUAAAAAAAAUAAAAUAAAAAAGAAAGAAAACUCAAAAAUGCAAUGCUGACCAACAGCUGGGAACAAUUUUUUUUUUUUUUUUACCCUAAUCAACGUGGUAAUAAAUAUUAUUGGCUGUAGGUUACUAGGUUCGAUAUCUCGAACUCGGCCUGGCCCAUGUUGGUAUGGGCUGGAUUGUAAAAUUACAAUAAAAUGUUGCCUAGUUGAUAGCAAAAUCACGUAAACAUCCAAUGAACGUUUGAAUUUUAGGACUACUUGGUAAUAAUAAGCUUUUAAAUGAUUACUAUAAUCUAGAAAUAAUCAAUUACGAAAAGAAUUAAUUAAUUAUUUAGUAAAUUCUAUUUUUUAAAAUGUUAUGAGUUUUAAAAUAGUAUUAUGUAUUUGGUAAAUUUUACUUAUUAAACUAUUGUAAGCAUACAAAUAAUUGAAUUCAAUAUAAUGUUAAGUAAAAUUUAUUCACACAUUUAUGAACAUAUUUAUAAAAUAUUUUUUAUGUGUAUAGAAAAUAAUUGAUAAUUAAAAAAAUUUUAUUUUUUUAUUUUUUUAUUUUGUUAUCACAAUAUAAAUAGCAAUAAUAAUAAUAUCUUUAAAUUUAAUGAUUUUAUUUUUUAAUUAAUAAGAUUAAUUUUAAAUGUUUUUAAUAAAUGGAACUAUUAGAUAUAAAAUUAAUUCUCAAAAUUAGAUUUUAAAAAAUUACUCAUUUCAUACUUCUCAAAAUCUACUAUAAUAUAAACUAAUUUUUCUAAAAAUAAUCUUAUUAAUUAAAUAAUUGAUAGUAUGUUUAAUAAAUAUUAUGUUACAAAAAAAAUUAACUACAUAGAAUAUGAAAUUAAAUUUAUUUUUGUAUUUUGUACAUUUCAUCUACUUGAGAUAAUAAAAUCUCUUGUGUUGAAAAAGAAAAUUAUGGGUUUUGAAUCUUGUUCACAUAGGUGAGAGGAAAUUGGUUACCAUUAUGUUAAAUUAAAAAAAAAAUCAUAUUAUACUUAUCAUUAAUUAUGGUUAGUAAAUAAUAUACAUAGUUUAACUAUAUAAUAAAGUAGUUAAUUUAUUAAUUAAUAAAUUUAUUAAUUUAAAUAGAUAUUAAUAAAUGUAAGAAUAAGUCAUUUAAUUGGAAACCUAGUUCAAUAGAAUUAAAAAAAAAAUAUUAUGGACUUAUAUGUCAAAAUUUCAAAACUUUUGAUUGUAUUUUUAAAUAAUAAUAAUAUCUUUAAAUUUAAUGAUUUUAUUUUUUAAUUAAUAAGAUUAAUUUUAAUUUUUUUUAAUAUAUGGAACUAUUAGAUAUAAAAUUAAUUCUCAAAAUUGGAUUUUAAAAAAUUACUCAUUUCAUACUUCUGAAAAUCUACUAUAGAGCAUCUCCAAAAGACUUUUUAGAUUUUACUCUUCAAAUAUCAAUUUGCUUACUGAUGUGGGAAAUAAGUGGAUGGAAAAAUACAAUCUCCUCCAAAAGACUCAUCAAAUAAUAAUAAGUUAACAUUAUUUUAAUCAAAUAUUUCCACUAUUAAAUUGAAUUGUUGUUAUGUUUUUUAAAGGAAACAUAACUAAUAAUUAUUGUAAUCUUAUCUUUUCAAUAAUUAAUAAUAAAAUAUUAAUAGAAGAGGGAGAAAUUCACUCGGUAAUAUUGAAGAGUGGGAAACAAAUCUUAUUUGAAGAAUCUAAAUUAACAUAUCUUUUGGAGUGUUUAAUAUUGAUAUGACUCAUCAAAUAAGAAGUAUAAUUUUAUUUGAAGAAUCUUUUGGAGAUGCUCUAAAAUAAACUGAUUUUUCUAAAAAUAAUUUUUAAAGUAAUUUACAGGAUAUUAAAAAUAAUUUUUAAUAUUUUAAAAUUAAUUUAUAACCCUAAAAAAUAAAUACUGAAAUUAAUUUUUUUUAACUUUUCAAAAUUAAACUCCAGACUCCUUAAAGCACUUUCCGCCAAUCGCCCGCAACUUCCUUCUCAUCUUAUCUAGAUAAAAAGUAUGAUCAUUUCGCUGUCUCUUAGAUUUAUUCGCUUAUAUAGAUUCGAAAUCGAACAAACUCUGCAGCUUUCUAAAUAACACACAGCAAAAAGGGAAAAAAAUUAAAAAAAAAAAAAGGCUGAGUCGUCAUCGUCUCAAUGGCGACGGCUGAGACACAAACGAUGGUGGUAGGGAUCGACGAUAGCGAGCACGGCACCUACGCGCUUCAAUGGACGCUCGAUCAUUUCUUUGCAAAUUGGACCGUAAAUCCUCCUUUCAAACUCGUCAUCGUUCACGCCAAACCUUCCCCUUCUUCUGUUGUUGGCCUUAUACUAUUACUUUUCUAUACUUAUGCUAUUACCUAUAAUUUUCUGUUCUUUAAGAAAAACCCA
rnacentral:lncRNA from 1 species